rnacentral:rRNA from 1 species
GACGAACGCUGGCGGCGUGCCUAAUACAUGCAAGUCGAACGCAGUGGGGCCGGGUGAGUCACACGUGGGUAACCUCCCAUCAGAGGGGAUAACACUUGGAAACAGGUGCUAAACCGCUACUGAUGGAUGGACCCGCGGUGCAUUAGCUAGUUGGUGGGGUAACGGCUCACCAAGGCCACGAUGCAUAGACGACCGGAGAGGGGGAUCGGCGACACGGGGACUGAGAAACGGCCCAGACGCCUACGGUAGGGAGCAGUAGGUAAUCUUCGGCAAUGGACGAAAGUCUGACCGAGCAACGCCGCGUGAGUGAAGAAGGUUUUCGGAUCGUAAAACUCUUUUGUUAGAGCAGCGGUAGCUAACCAGAAAGCCACGGCUAACUACGUGCCAGCAGCCGCGGUAAUUC